rnacentral:tRNA from 1 species
GGAGAGGCUGUGGCUCAGUGGAAGAACUUCUGACUUGUAUGCAGAGGGUCCUGGGUUCAAUCCCUGGCAUCUCCU